GGAUGCUCUAGCGAAGGGUGCUCGGUAAACAAAUAGUUUAUGCUCGUCACUGAAAGUUGCAGUUCUUACUUUCUGCUUACAUAUUUGAGUUUGGGCAUAAUCCAUUACUAUUUUGUACUUGGGAGCUUGCAAAUUGUUUGUGGUGAAAACUAAAAAGGGAGAUCUAUUCAAUUGUUUUUUGUUUCCUUGACCAAUAAAAUUUAGGGGAUGUUCAGUCAUAUAUUUUAUUAACAUGGUAGUGGUUUUCUCGUGUUAUCUGCAGAUAAUAUGAUUACUUAUGGUUUAGUUCAAACUAAUGGCUUUAUGGGCUCAAUAAGGGAAAUCUAUUUUUACCUGAUUUUUGCAGAGUUGCAUUUUUUUUGUGCCUUAAUUUGCAUAUCAGCAUGGAAAAUGCUCCUUAAAUAUAUGAUUGGACCUAUAACAUUUAAGGGAUGUCCAGUCACAUUCUUUAUUAACUUGCUAAGGGUUGUAUUUAUAGUGUCAUCUGCAAAUAGUGGGAUUGCUCACAAUUUUAUAAGGACUUUUCUGUCCCUCAUCCCCUUCCCCUGCAUGUAUGCACAUCUG
rnacentral:misc_RNA from 1 species